rnacentral:rRNA from 1 species
CCUACGGGGGGCAGCAGUGGGGAAUAUUGGACAAUGGGGGCAACCCUGAUCCAGCCAUGCCGCGUGUGUGAAGAAGGCCCUCGGGUUGUAAAGCACUUUCAGUGAGGAAGAACGCCUGGUGGUUAAUACCCAUCAGGAAAGACAUCACUCACAGAAGAAGCACCGGCUAACUCCGUGCCAGCAGCCGCGGCAAUACGGAGGGUGCGAGCGUUAAUCGGAAUUACUGGGCGUAAAGCGCGCGUAGGUGGCUUGAUAAGCCGGUUGUGAAAGCCCCGGGCUCAACCUGGGAACGGCAUCCGGAACUGUCAAGCUAGAGUGCAGGAGAGGAAGGUAGAAUUCCCGGUGUAGCGGUGAAAUGCGUAGAGAUCGGGAGGAAUACCAGUGGCGAAGGCGGCCUUCUGGACUGACACUGACACUGAGGUGCGAAAGCGUGGGUAGCAAACAGGAUUAGAUACCCCUGUAGC